AAUUAAACUAAAAAUAGUUUUAGUGUUUGGAAAUUGAAAAAUUGAGAUUUGUUUGAAAAUUGAAAAUUGAAAAUUGAAAAUUCUUAGUGGCGAGCGAUAGCGAGGCGCGAAUAUAUUCCCUUAGUAGCGGCGAGCGAAAAGGGAGGAGCCUAAACUUUAUAAACCGCGUGAAAUAGAGGUUGUUUUACUUCGGUAAAACAACUGAAAUUUUGCAAAAGGCGCCAAAGCCACAUGUUUAUGAAGUGUUAUAAGAUGAUUGCUUUUGUUUUUUGGAUAAAACAAGACAAAGUAAAAAACAACAUUUUUAAUUGAAGCGAGCUGGAAAGCUCAACCAAAGAGGGUGAUAGUCCUGUAAAUAAAAAAAAUGUUGCUUUGUUGCGGUUAUUCUUAAGUACUGCGGGACUCGUGAAAUCCCGUGGGAAUUUGGGUUGACUAUAACCCAAGGCUAAAUACUUCUUAUGAUCGAUAGUGAACUAGUACCGUGAGGGAAAGGUGAAAAGCAUCCCUGUUAGGGAGGUGAAAUAGUAUCUGAAACCAUAUACUUACAAAGAGUAGGAGCUCCGUGUCUCACUAGCGUUCGACACGAAUUUUCAAUUUUCAAUUUUCAUCCCUCUCCAGUUUUAAUAAACUGGGGAGGGAUGAAAAUUGAAAAUUGAAAAUUCUUCGUGGCGAGCGAUAGCGAGGCGCGAAGUGACUGCGUGCCUAUUGAAGAAUGAGCCAACGAGUUUGUUCUAUGUGGCUUGCCCCAUUAGAUAAUUUUAUAUCUAACGGGGCUUGCAUAAAUUCCGUUUGGAAAAUAUGCAUAGUGAAAGCGAGGGUUAAUAGCCCGAAUGCGUGAAACGCAUAACGUAAAACGCAUAACGAUUUUUAAUAAUUUUCGUUAUGCGUUACGCGUUGUGCGUUACGCGAUCAGUCGCAUGGACAAGACCCGAAGCCGUGUGAUCUAGCCAUGGCCAGGUUGAAGUCCGCCGAAAGGCGGAUGGAGGACCGAACCCACUAGUCGGGCAACACUAGGGGAUGAGCUGUGGUUAGCGGUGAAAUUCCAAUCGAACUCGGCAAUAGCUGGUUCUCCUCGAAAUAGCUUUAGGGCUAGCCUCGAGCACUAACUGUAGGGGGUAGAGCACUGAAUGAGGGCGGGUCUUCGGAUACCGUCUUUAAUCAAACUCCGAAUACUUACAGGUGUAGCUCGGGAGUCAGACUAUGGGGGCUAAGCUCCAUUAGUCAAAAGGGAAACAGCCCAGAUCGCAAUCUAAGGUCCCUAAAUAUAUGCUAAGUGUAAAAGGUGGUGUCGCGACUGCGACAAUUAGGAGGUUGGCUUAGAAGCAGCCAUCCUUUAAAGAAAGCGUAAUAGCUCACUAGUCAAGUUGUCUCGCGCCGAAAAUGUACCGGGGCUAAGCAUAUUACCGAAGAUGCGAGUUUCGGAAGUCAGAUUUCAGAUGUCAGAAAUCAGAUUUUCGGAUAUCUAAAUUAAAAAUUUGAUAUAAUAUUAUUAUGCAAGAUGUAAGUGAAUUAAAAAUUUAUCAAAACGCUUUAAAAUUAUUAAAGCCAGUAUAUAAAUUAGCAAAUUUAUUGCCAAAUAAUGAAUUUGAUUUUAAAAAUCAACUAUUAAGAUCAGCAAAAUCAAUUGCUCCAAAUAUUGCGGAGGGAUUUGCUAAGAAAAAAUCACAAAAUGAAUUUAAACGAUUUUUAUUAAUUGCGCUAGGUUCAAGUGAUGAAGUGAUUACGCAUUUGAGGCAAAUUAAAAUUAUUGCUUUUGCAAAUAUUAAGCAAGAAACUUGUAAUGCAUUGAUUGCUUUUUAUAAAAUUCAAUCUAAGCAAAUAAAUUGUUUUAUUAAAUCUAUUAUCAAAUUAAAUGCAAGUUAAUUAAUUUAGAAAUCUGAGAUCUGAAAUCUGAGAUCUGACUUCCGAAACGGUAGAGGAGUAUUUCAUACGCGUUGAAGCUGAACCGCGAGGUUUUGUGCAGUGUAUGGAAGUAAGAAUGUUGGCAUGAGUAGCAGAAAUCCCAAUGAGAAAUUGGGACACCGAAAGCCUAAGGUUUCCUGGGCAAUGAAAAUCAACUCAGGGUUAGUCGGUCCUAAGGCGAGGUCUGUGUAGUGCAGACGUAGUCGAUGGAUGAGCUGAUUAAUAUUUCAGCACUACUGUAAUUUUCCGAUGGAGUAACGCAUUUCAAAAGUUUAAGCGUAUUUAUGAUAUGUGCGUUGAUUGCUUUGAGAAAUGAUCUAGGUAAAUCCGGGUCAAUAAUUUCAAGGAGUUGUCAAAAGACAAAGCUGCAAGGUGGAGUCAAUUUAGAUAAAAGAAAUGCCAAGAAAAACUUCUAGGGCUAAAAUUAUAGUAACCGUACCGCAAACCGACACAGGUAGGCAGGGCGAGAAGCCCAAGGUGAACGAGAGAACCUUCGUUAAGGAACUCGGCAAAAUAGUGGCCGUAAUUUAGAGAUAAGGCCUCCCCUCCCCAGUUUUCACAAAUAUUAUUUGUGAAAACUGGGGAGGGGCGCAGCUAAAGAACCCAAGCGACUGUUUAUCAAAAACACAGCUCCCUGCUAACUCGAAAGAGGAUGUAUAGGGGGUGACGCCUGGCCAGUGUCCGAACGUUAAAGGGAGAGGUCAACUGUGCGUAGCACAGAAAUUCCAAUAACCAAGAUACAAGAUACAAAUAAAUUACAAUAUUCAAAUUACAAAUUUCAAAUAAAAUUUUGAUAUUUGAACUUUGGAAUUUGAAAUUUGUUUGUAUCCUUGUAUCUUGUAUCUUGGAAUUUCCGCGCUGCGCGCGGUGAAGCUUUGAACUGAAGCGCGGAUGAACGCCGGCGAUAACUAUGAUCGUCCUAAGGUUCUGUAAUUUAUUCUGUUAAAUUCUGAUAAAUUACAGAAGGACUGGGACGAUUAUAAAAAAAUUCGCUACCUAACUAUAAUGAAAAUUAUAUGUUGUCUAAAAAUACCCAGUAAAAUGCGUGGAAAUCUUCAAAAGAUUUUUAGUACCCCUCCCCAGUUCCUCUUCAGCUUUCGAAAGCUGAAGAGGAACUGGGGAGGGGUAAAAAUCUAAAAAUACAUGGAGGCAAUACGCAGGAUUGAUUAAAAUUAAUCAAUCCUCAGAGACUUAACACUGGGGUCCGUAAAAUAUGAAUAUAAAUCCUAAUUGGGUAAGUUCAUAUUAGGACAAGAUAAAGUCCAUGCUUAAUAGAAAUAUUAAGAAGGUGCAGAGCGAAAUUCCUUGUCGGGUAAGUUCCGACCCGCACGAAUGGCGUAACGACUUGGGUACUGUCUCAACGAAGGACUCGGCGAAAUUGCAAGGCGAGUAAAGAUGCUCGCUAAUCAUAGUUGGACGAAAAGACCCCAUGAAGCUUUACUACAGCUUGACAUUGAAUUUGGGGUGUGCAUGUUCAGAAUAGGUGGGAGUCCGCCGAUUCGGCGGACAUCAGUGAGAUACCACUCUUGUAUAUUUUUAAUUCUAACCCUGACCCUUUAUUAGAUACGAAAUAUUUUUCGUGUUUAAUACAGGGUCGGGAACAGUGUCUGGUGGGUAGUUUGUCUGGGGCGGAUGCCUCAUAAAAAGUAACUGAGGCGUUUACUAAGGUUGGCUAUCCUGGGAUGGAAAUCCAGGAGAUAGUGUAAAGGCACAAGCCAGCUUUACUGCAAGACCUGCAAGUCGAGCAGUUGCGAAAGCAGAACUUAGUGAUCCGACCGUGCGAUAUAGGACGGCGGAAGCUCAUCGGAUAAAAGCUACUCUGGGGAUAACAGGCUAGUCACGCCCAAGCGUCCACAGCGACGGCGUGGUUCGGCACCUUAACAUAUCGGGGUGCCAUCUCGAGUAAUCGAGUGAAUAAAUUUGGCUAAUAACGGUGAACUCCAUAAUUAAUCUAUGGCCUAGAAUAAAAUUAUGGACAAUACCGUGGGAAGUCCAUUUCGGACAUCGGAUUUCUGAUGUCAGAUGUCGGAUUAUAAAAAAUAUAAAAUCCGAAUUCUGAUUUCUGAAAUCCGAUUUCCGAUCUGUGACCCCGUAGAGACUUAUUCUAAUUUUUAGAAUAGAUAGUAUUUAUUACAUUAGUUAUAAAAUAAAAUUUACAAUGCUAUAAUACGCCAACCCCCGCCGUUCUCGCGAGCAGCGGGGUGAAAAUAUAGUCCAUACCAUUAGUAAUAAUGGAACGAUAUACGAUGUCGGCUCGUCGCAUCCUGGGGGUGAAGAAGCUCCCAAGGGUUUGGCUGUUCGCCAAUUAAAGCGGCACGCGAGCUGGGUUCAGACCGUCAAUUUGGCGGCUUUCCCGAGUAAUCGGGAUUGAAAAAGUCGACUCAUAUCGGUGAAAUUCUAAUAUAAAAUAUUUGCAAUUUAACCUGUCAUAUAUUAGAAUAAUACCGAGGGAAGUUAAUUAUGUCUAAGAAAAUUACACCAAAUCAAAAAGCUUAUAAAGAGAAAGAGACAUAAUUUAACCCCGUAGAGACUGAUCCUUAAAUGGAGAGGGCAUGAUAUUUUUAAGUCAUGUCAACACGUCGACCCCCUAACAGGUGUUUAGGGUGAUGGUAUAGUCCAUGCACUUAGUAAUAAGUGACUAAUUAUAAAAUGCGUAAGACAGGUCGGUCUCCUAUCCACUAUGAUCGUGGAAACUUGAGGAGUCCCUUUCCUAGUACGAGAGGACCGGAAAGGACAAAGCUCUAGUGUACCAGCUGUUCCAUCAGGGGCAUUGUUGGGUAGCUACCUUUGGUUAGGAUAAGCGCUGAAAGCAUCUAAGCGCGAAACCGUCUCCAAGAUUAGGUUUCAUAGGCUGGUUAUAGACUAUAACCUUGAUAGGCUCUAAGUGUAAGCAUGGUAACAUGUUCAGCUGAAGAGUACUAAUAAGCCAUUUAAUUUU
rnacentral:rRNA from 1 species